rnacentral:misc_RNA from 1 species
GAUGAAGAACGCAGCGAAAUGCGAUACUUGGUGUGAAUUGCAGAAUCCCGUGAACCAUCGAGUCUUUGAACGCAAGUUGCGCCUCAAGCCAUUAGGUUGAGGGCACGUCUGCCUGGGCGUCACAUAUCGUUGCCUGAUGCCAGUUUCCUCGUGAUGGGUGACUGUGCAGGGCGAAUGAUGGCUUCCCGUGAGCAUUGUUGCCUCAUGGUUGGUUGAAAAUUGAGUCCUUGGUAGGGAGCGCCGUGAUAGAUGGUGGUUGAGUGACGAACGAGACCCAAUCAUGUGAGACCCCUACCGAAUUUGGCCUUCAUGACCCUCAUGCGUCUUUGGAACGCUCAUGACGAGACCUCAGGUCAGGCGGGGCUACACGCUGAGUUUAAGCAUAUCAAUAAGCGGAGGA